ACUUAAAUAAUUUAAUAAAAAUAUUGAUUUGUGGAGUCAAAUUUAUGAGUAAUCAUUUUAAGUU
rnacentral:tRNA from 1 species